UUUCUCUUUUAACCUUAGGUCCCCCUGACACAGUGACUCUUACUAGAAAAGGCCUACUCUGGACAUAUUGACAAAAGCCAACCUGUGCCCUUUAGAGAAACAGAUUUCACAACAUAGAGUCCCUUUACCAGACAGGGAGAGGGGCAGCCCAAACCCCGCAAACCUGCCUAUUCUAAAUGGGUUCGGCCAUCCGCCGCAUCAACACAAAACACAUGAGACUAAUGGGAAGGAUCUUUAAUAAAACUAGGAAACAAUACAGAUCCCAAGGCCAUCAUGAAGGAGCUUGUGUUAUGGAAACCAACUGGACAGAACUACCCUGAAGUUGUUGAGAUAAAUUGUUGUUUUGAGAAAACUGCCUGCCCGGAUGCAAAGAUGACUAGUUCCUGAAACCGCUUGCUGAUUUGUUUACUUUUCCUAAAUAACUCACAUUCUUUCCCAACCUGAAACCUGUACCCUUGCUAAUAAAAUCCCAAAGGCUUCCUUCUUUGAGGAGGUGGAUUUGAGCUUGGCUUCUAUCCUCAGUUGGCAUCAUUUCUAAACUAAAAAACAUUUCUGCUUCAAACACCUCUUGGUGUUUGAUCCUAGUGUUUGGUCCUUCUGGACACCAGGCUCACUAACCACCAUGACAUUGGUAGCAAGGUGAGGUGUAUGCACAUACUGAGGUGUGAAACUAUACUUUGAAAAACUGUAUAGUGUGUA